GACAGAGGGUGCAAACGUUGUUCGGAAUUACUGGGCGUAAAGCGCGCGUAGGCGGACAUUUAAGUCAGGGGUGAAAUGCCGGGGCUCAACCUCGGAACUGCCUUUGAUACUGGGUGUCUGGAGUUCGGGAGAGGUGAGUGGAAUUCCGAGUGUAGAGGUGAAAUUCGUAGAUAUUCGGAGGAACACCAGAAGCGAAGGCGGCUCACUGGCCCGAUACUGACGCUGAGGCGCGAAAGCGUGGGGAGCAAACAGG
rnacentral:rRNA from 1 species